rnacentral:rRNA from 1 species
GAACGAGAAAGUGGAGCAAUCCAUGAGUAAAGUGGCGACCGGGUGAGUAACACGUGACUAACCUACCUCCGAGUGGGGAAUAACUCCGGGAAACCGGGGCUAAUACCGCAUAACAUCGAGAGAUCAAAGCAGCAAUGCGCUUGAGGAGGGGGUCGCGGCUGAUUAGCCAGUUGGUGAGGUAACGGCUCACCAAAGCGAAGAUCGGUAUCCGGCCUGAGAGGGCGCACGGACACACUGGAACUGAAACACGGUCCAGACUCCUACGGGAGGCAGCAGUGGGGAAUUUUGCGCAAUGGGGGAAACCCUGACGCAGCAACGCCGCGUGGAGGAUGAAGCCCUUUGGGGUGUAAACUCCUUUCGAUCGGGACGAUAAUGACGGUACCGGAUGAAGAAGCACCGGCUAACUCUGUG